rnacentral:lncRNA from 12 species
UGAGACAGGUGAGGGACAGGUAGAUGGGGGACAGGUGAAACGGGUGAGAGAUGGGGGACAGGUGGGACAGGUGAAGGACAGGUGGGAGAUGGGGGACAGGUGAGGGAUGGGGGACAGGUGAGACAGGUGAGACAGGUGAGGGACAGGUGAGGGACAGGUGAGACAAGUGAGAGAUGGGGGACACCUGAGGGACAGGUGAGACAGGUAAGAGAUGGGGGACAGGUGAGACAGGUGAAGGACAGGUGG